rnacentral:rRNA from 1 species
AACGGCCGUACCAUGCUGAAUAUACCGGUUCUCGUUAGAUCACCGAAGUUAAGCAUCAUUGGGCGCGGUCAGUACUUGGGUGGGUGACCACCUGGGAACACUGCGUGCCGUUA